rnacentral:rRNA from 2 species
UACGUAGGGGGCAAGCGUUGUCCGGAAUUACUGGGCGUAAAGGGCGUGUAGGCGGCCGAUCAAGUCAGGUGUGAAAUUCCAGGGCUCAACCCUGGACGUGCACUUGAAACUGGUUGGCUUGAGUGCAGAAGAGGAAAGUGGAAUUCCCAGUGUAGCGGUGAAAUGCGUAGAUAUUGGGAGGAACACCAGUGGCGAAGGCGACUUUCUGGUCUGUAACUGACGCUGAGGCGCGAAAGCUAGGGGAGCAAAC